CUUAGCGCAUACGACAGCAAAAGUUUAUCCCAGCCCAACCUGCGAUUAGCUGUGUGACUUGGGGUUGAAUCCUUAUCACGGCAUGCCUAGAGUGCCGGCACAGCAUCUCAGUUGAUGACCUUGCCUCUAGGCAGAAGCAAGGGAGACAUCAACAUGGUCCCUGGCCACAUCCCAUGUCCAAAUCCUCACCUCCAUUGGAACGGCACAAGAACCUCCACAUGGCCCAAAAGUGCGAGUGAUUUGCAAACACCUGCACACCCAGAGUCACUACCUGAAGAUGACUAUUCAACUUCUAU